AGUGAACGCUGGCGGUAGGCCUAACACAUGCAAGUCGAACGGCAGCACAGUAAGAGCUUGCUCUUACGGGUGGCGAGUGGCGGACGGGUGAGGAAUACAUCGGAAUCUACUUUUUCGUGGGGGAUAACGUGGGGAAACUUCCGCUAAUACCGCAUACGACCUACGGGUGAAAGCAGGGGAUAUUCGGACCUUGCGCGAUUGAAUGAGCCGAUGCCGGAUUAGCUAGUUGGCGGGGUAAAGGCCUACCAAGGCGACGAUCCGUAGCUGAUCUGAGAGGAUGAUCAGCCACACUGGAACUGAGACACGGUCCAGACUCCUACGGGAGGCAGCAGUGGGGAAUAUUGGACAAUGGGCGCAAGCCUGAUCCAGCUAUACCGCGUGGGUGAAGAAGGCCUUCGGGUUGUAAAGCCCUUUUGUUGGGAAAGAAAAGCAGCAGGUUAAUACCCCGCUGUUCUGACGGUACCCAAAGAAUAAGCACCGGCUAACUUCGUG
rnacentral:rRNA from 1 species